GAUGAACGCUGGCGGCGUGCCUAAUACAUGCAAGUCGAGCGAACAGACGAGGAGCUUGCUCCUCUGACGUUAGCGGCGGACGGGUGAGUAACACGUGGAUAACCUACCUAUGAGACUGGGAUAACUUCGGGAAACCGGAGCUAAUACCGGAUAACAUGUUGAACCGCAUGGUUCAACAGUGAAAGACGGUCUUGCUGUCACUUAUAGAUGGAUCCGCGCCGCAUUAGCUAGUUGGUAAGGUAACGGCUUACCAAGGCAACGAUGCGUAGCCGACCUGAGAGGGUGAUCGGCCACACUGGAACUGAGACACGGUCCAGACUCCUACGGGAGGCAGCAGUAGGGAAUCUUCCGCAAUGGGCGAAAGCCUGACGGAGCAACGCCGCGUGAGUGAAGAAGGUCUUCGGAUCGUAAAACUCUGUUAUUAGGGAAGAACAAAUGUGUAAGUAACUAUGCACGUCUUGACGGUACCUAAUCAGAAAGCCACGGCUAACUACGUG
rnacentral:rRNA from 1 species